rnacentral:rRNA from 1 species
AACGAACGCUGGCGGCAGGCUUAACACAUGCAAGUCGAGCGCCCCGCAAGGGGAGCGGCAGACGGGUGAGUAACGCGUGGGAAUCUACCCAUCUCUACGGAAUAACGCAUGGAAACGUGUGCUAAUACCGUAUACGUCCUUCGGGAGAAAGAUUUAUCGGAGAUGGAUGAGCCCGCGUUGGAUUAGCUAGUUGGUGGGGUAAAGGCCUACCAAGGCGACGAUCCAUAGCUGGUCUGAGAGGAUGAUCAGCCACACUGGGACUGAGACACGGCCCAAACUCCUACGGGGGGCAGCAGUGGGGAAUAUUGGACAAUGGGCGCAAGCCUGAUCCAGCCAUGCCGCGUGAGUGAUGAAGGCCCUAGGGUUUUAAAGCUCUUUCACCGGUGAAGAUAAUGACGGUAACCGGAGAAGAAGCCCCGGCUAACUUCGUGCCAGCAGCCGCCGUAAGAC